rnacentral:tRNA from 1 species
CCCUGGAUGGCUUAGUGGUUUAGCGCCUGCCUUGAGCCCAGGAUGUGAUCCUGGAGUCCCAGGAUCGAGGCUCCCUCCAGGGA